GGUUAAGCGACUAAGCGUACACGGUGGAUGCCCUGGCAGUCAGAGGCGAUGAAGGACGUGCUAAUCUGCGAUAAGCGUCGGUAAGGUGAUAUGAACCGUUAUAACCGGCGAUUUCCGAAUGGGGAAACCCAGUGUGAUUCGUCACACUAUCAUUAACUGAAUCCAUAGGUUAAUGAGGCGAACCGGGGGAACUGAAACAUCUAAGUACCCCGAGGAAAAGAAAUCAACCGAGAUUCCCCCAGUAGCGGCGAGCGAACGGGGAGCAGCCCAGAGCCUGAAUCAGUGUGUGUGUUAGUGGAAGCGUCUGGAAAGGCGCGCGAUACAGGGUGACAGCCCCGUACACAAAAAUGCACAUGCUGUGAGCUCGAUGAGUAGGGCGGGACACGUGGUAUCCUGUCUGAAUAUGGGGGGACCAUCCUCCAAGGCUAAAUACUCCUGACUGACCGAUAGUGAACCAGUACCGUGAGGGAAAGGCGAAAAGAACCCCGGCGAGGGGAGUGAAAAAGAACCUGAAACCGUGUACGUACAAGCAGUGGGAGCCUCUUUUAUGGGGUGACUGCGUACCUUUUGUAUAAUGGGUCAGCGACUUAUAUUCUGUAGCAAGGUUAACCGAAUAGGGGAGCCGAAGGGAAACCGAGUCUUAACUGGGCGUUAAGUUGCAGGGUAUAGACCCGAAACCCGGUGAUCUAGCCAUGGGCAGGUUGAAGGUUGGGUAACACUAACUGGAGGACCGAACCGACUAAUGUUGAAAAAUUAGCGGAUGACUUGUGGCUGGGGGUGAAAGGCCAAUCAAACCGGGAGAUAGCUGGUUCUCCCCGAAAGCUAUUUAGGUAGCGCCUCGUGAAUUCAUCUCCGGGGGUAGAGCACUGUUUCGGCAAGGGGGUCAUCCCGACUUACCAACCCGAUGCAAACUGCGAAUACCGGAGAAUGUUAUCACGGGAGACACACGGCGGGUGCUAACGUCCGUCGUGAAGAGGGAAACAACCCAGACCGCCAGCUAAGGUCCCAAAGUCAUGGUUAAGUGGGAAACGAUGUGGGAAGGCCCAGACAGCCAGGAUGUUGGCUUAGAAGCAGCCAUCAUUUAAAGAAAGCGUAAUAGCUCACUGGUCGAGUCGGCCUGCGCGGAAGAUGUAACGGGGCUAAACCAUGCACCGAAGCUGCGGCAGCGACACUAUGUGUUGUUGGGUAGGGGAGCGUUCUGUAAGCCUGUGAAGGUGUGCUGUGAGGCAUGCUGGAGGUAUCAGAAGUGCGAAUGCUGACAUAAGUAACGAUAAAGCGGGUGAAAAGCCCGCUCGCCGGAAGACCAAGGGUUCCUGUCCAACGUUAAUCGGGGCAGGGUGAGUCGACCCCUAAGGCGAGGCCGAAAGGCGUAGUCGAUGGGAAACAGGUUAAUAUUCCUGUACUUGGUGUUACUGCGAAGGGGGGACGGAGAAGGCUAUGUUGGCCGGGCGACGGUUGUCCCGGUUUAAGCGUGUAGGCUGGUUUUCCAGGCAAAUCCGGAAAAUCAAGGCUGAGGCGUGAUGACGAGGCACUACGGUGCUGAAGCAACAAAUGCCCUGCUUCCAGGAAAAGCCUCUAAGCAUCAGGUAACAUCAAAUCGUACCCCAAACCGACACAGGUGGUCAGGUAGAGAAUACCAAGGCGCUUGAGAGAACUCGGGUGAAGGAACUAGGCAAAAUGGUGCCGUAACUUCGGGAGAAGGCACGCUGAUAUGUAGGUGAAGCGACUUGCUCGUGGAGCUGAAAUCAGUCGAAGAUACCAGCUGGCUGCAACUGUUUAUUAAAAACACAGCACUGUGCAAACACGAAAGUGGACGUAUACGGUGUGACGCCUGCCCGGUGCCGGAAGGUUAAUUGAUGGGGUCAGCGCAAGCGAAGCUCUUGAUCGAAGCCCCGGUAAACGGCGGCCGUAACUAUAACGGUCCUAAGGUAGCGAAAUUCCUUGUCGGGUAAGUUCCGACCUGCACGAAUGGCGUAAUGAUGGCCAGGCUGUCUCCACCCGAGACUCAGUGAAAUUGAACUCGCUGUGAAGAUGCAGUGUACCCGCGGCAAGACGGAAAGACCCCGUGAACCUUUACUAUAGCUUGACACUGAACAUUGAGCCUUGAUGUGUAGGAUAGGUGGGAGGCUUAGAAGUGUGGACGCCAGUCUGCAUGGAGCCGACCUUGAAAUACCACCCUUUAAUGUUU
rnacentral:rRNA from 1 species